rnacentral:tRNA from 1 species
UUCAAUUUUGUAAAUCCCCAAAAAGGUGAAGGUCGUAUUUCCUGCCUGCCUGGUAAUUUAUAAGUAAUU